rnacentral:lncRNA from 1 species
CCUGAAUCGAGUGCCUUACUCGCACCUAAACUGAAAGCCCAGUUCGACACGUACAUUAAAAUGAAAGGUCCAGCCUGCCCAGAAAGUGGUUUUGCUUGUUUGUUUUUUUCAAUGAGCCCAGGGCAGGCCUGGUAAGUAGGGUUACUAGUGACAACACUUGUCCACACCAGACACCCAGACGCACGUCACCUUAAACGCAUGUGAGCCGGGCACACGGUGAAGUGUCAUGACCUCAUACAGAACACUUGGUGGAACCUAAAGCAUUUCUCCAGAGGACCCCCUGAUCAGUCCCCCUGGUUCCUCUGAACACGGGCACCCCUUCCUAGCCUUGAAGCUCAACAGCGGGAUCCAGGCCGGAAGGAGGUCGGGGGCUUAAAAUACAAAAUACCAGAGACGGAGACGCCCAGUGUGGCGUCUGUAUCUGACAGGGAACAGACCGGCUCAAAACCAGCCUGAAAGGCCACCCUACUAGGAAGUGGCCCCUUUAAAUCGCUGCUCUCUGCCUCCAGAGCAGAUAUGUGCACUCUGCUGCCAGCAGCAGCCAGCAAACAAAAACAAAUACUCAUUGAAGAGGGGGAGGAAGAGACUAAAAUGCAGAUUUGAAAUGUUCUGCUUCCUCAGCUCAGCUGAAACCGGAGCCAAAACGAAGGGGAAAGCUCCUGGAUCAGGGAAGAGCCAAAUGGACCGGUCAAACGCCACUCGACACUGAUACGGGAACAAAAACUCAGGCAGAAUUUGGGGAUAAGAAAAAAGCUGACGUUAUAUAAGAAGAGAGGCCCUAUCCGACCCAUGUGGGAUUUUGAAAGACAAAAUGCCAGUUCAGAAGGUUGAGAAAGAGGGACAAGGAUGGACCACUCGCCAAAUCUCGGAUGGACACCACCGCCACCCCUGCCCAGAACUCCUUCUCCACUGGGAUCCUUUAUGGUUCUUCUUCCACCUGGGCUCCUUAUCUACGGUUAUAUGUCACCACUCUAGAGCCCUGAAUUCCUACUGGUUUCACUGAACCCUCACGGUGGGAGAGAGACCAAAAAAAAAAAAAGUGGAAACACUAGUACUGGUGGAGGAAAAAGGAUCCUGGAAUAACAAUAAAAACAGUGGUGGUUGAUCUGUAUUUAAAUGCUAGCUGUGCCAGGGAUUGCUGAUCCUCUGCAGUUUGGCACUGUGAAAAUUUAAAAGAAGUCAAAAAAAUACACUCUUCAAGUUGGUGAAGGAGGUUAGCAUCAGAAGAAACAGUUCCAAAAGGCACAUACACAAGUAGAAGCAAAAGUUCCUAGGGAAUCCCUGUCAGUUAACACAGACAUAUAAAAGGAGAAAAAUACGAAUUUUGAAGCUUUUCAAUAAAAAAUACAAUCAUGAAAGUAUUUACUCUAAGCAAUUCACAUCACCUAUACGAAGUCUGAAUUAGUUUUAGGAGGCAUAUUCGAAUGUAUUUUUUUCCAAUAGAUUUAAAAAUUAUUCUUUUUGUUUUAAUUUCUGGAUGUCCCUACUCAGGAUCUCCUUCAACAAUCAAUACAUUUUAAAUCACAUAAGGAGUUUUCAUGUUGAGAAAAAUAACAUUUAAGGUGUAAUUAUCAGGUUUUUAUUCAUUCCGGCAAAAUUUGAUUUAAAUUUCAAAAAGUUUCCCAAAAUGUGGGUUUUAUUUUACCUUUUUAUUUUUAUAAUCCCCAGACAACAUCACACAUUCGGCAAGUGUCACUUGGUGUUUGCUCGACAUUGCAGCUACCUGCUGGCCUACAGAGCAAUGGUAAAGCAACCUUGCUUAGUUUAGGUACUGGAGGACUCAAACAUCAAUCCAAAAGUCAACAUCCAAAUCUCGGUUCUGAGGGGAGGGCAUUAUAUUGAAACAAGAAGAAUGAGAGGAUUCACAGAAGAGAUAAAGCAAAAAAUGACUACAGCUGCAAGUUGCCCAAAGAGACUUGAGACUGGGAGACAAAAUUGAAUGGAGAGACAAAAAAACACCCAGGAAGAAAUGAAUUUUUUGAAGAAUUUAGAAGUGACCAAUCCUUGCUGCUAUUAUAUUCUAAAACAUGUCACUUGUUGAUGACAGUGACGAUAUUGACAACUCAUCAUCUAAGUGUAUUACAUUGACUUGAAUUAACUGUGGCUCAAUUGGGAAGAAUUAACAAUAAUAAUAAUAAUAAUGUUGGUAUUUGUUAAGCGCUUCCUAUGUGCCAAGCACUUCUAAGCGGUGGGGUGGAUACAAGGUGAUCAGGUUGUCCCAGGUGGGGCUCACAGCCUUCAUCCCCAUUUUACAGAUGAAGUAACUGAGGCAUGGAGAAGUUAAGUGACUUGCCCAAAGUCACACAGCUGACAAGCGGCGGAUGUAUGGACAUUAGAACCCAUGACCUCUGACUCCCAAACCCGGGCUCUUUCCACUGAGCCACGCUGCUUCUCUGAAUUAGAAAAUCAAUAUAUCCAUUUGGCAGAAAAAUCUGAAGAAACACUUAAAUUCCAAAUGAUGUUUUCGGUUUUCAUCCUAAUUUUUCAAAGAUGAUAAUCAAAAGGGUAGAAACUGUGACACAGUGGAUAACGUCCUAAAAAUACAUAUCCUGCGUAUACAGAGCACUCUCAGAAGAGCCUCCCAGUACAAUAGAUUCAGAAGAAGUACUAUGUUGCUCUCCGGGCCUCCUCCACUGGUUUGGAUGGAAAUAGAUAAGACAUUAACUUGAGCAACUUUGUGGAUGGAUCUCCACUAUUCCAUCGAAGGCUUUAAGAACCAAACACGGCAGAGUCUAUUACCCUUUUGUUUAUAUAGUCUAAAUAUGCAAAAUGUGAAUGUUUCUCAUAGUUUUACCUUAUUGCAUUGUUUUCAUGAGCAAAGGAGUGUUCCUUUGACUUUUUC